GAGUACAGUGUCUGGUCACCCAACUCCUUUCUAGUGGAGACUGAACAUGUCUCUGUAGACAGGGCAGUGGGCUCCUUUGGAUUCCCUGAAGCUGUGGUGGCAAGGGCAGGUUCUGGCCCUACCUGCUUUGGCUCUUUGGUCUUCCCUGUCUCCAGGCAGCCGGGGAAGCCCAGAGCCCACCCAGGAGGAGAAGCAAUGCUCCCUUUUAACAUUCUGUGAUUCUUUUGGGGAGAAACACACUCUUUUUUAAUUGAAGUAUGGUUGAUUGAUAAUAUUAUAUUAGUUUCAGGUGUACAGGAAAGUGAUUCUGUUUUAAGUAUAAUGUAUAGCAAACAUACAGAAGAGAAGUCAUGACUAUAUAACUUGAAUUAUCAUGAAGAGAACACAAACUAAGAGUGAUUCCGUUUUGUUUUGUUUCAGAUUAUGAGAUAAAUGAUGAGAAUGGGAUUAACAGGCUCUUCAGUUCCUCUUCACUUUCCAGUAGUCAUAUAUGGAUGUGAAAGUUGGACCAUAAAGAAGUCUGAGUGCUGAAGAAUUGAUGCUUUUGAACUGUUGGAUAAGACUCUUGAGAAUCCCUUGGAUGCAAGGAGAUCAAACCAGUCAAUCCUAAAGAAAAUCAACCCGGCAUAUUCAUUGGGAGGACUGAUGCUGAAGGUGAAGCUCCAAUACUUUGGCCACCUGAUGUAAAGGGCUGACUCACUGGAAAAGACCCUGAUGCUGGGAAAGAUUGAAGGAAGGAGGAGAAGAGGACAGAGGACAAGAUGGUUGGAUGGCAUAAAGACUCAAUGGACGUGAGUUUGAGCAAACUCUGGGAGAUGGUGAAGGACAGGGAAGCCCGGCGUGCUGCAGUGCAUGAGUUGGAUAUGACUGAGUGACUGAACCACAGCUCUAGAAGUGUGAUCCCAGAGAGCUCCCUGACCCCUUCCACCAUACGAGGACACAGAAAUUGGCUGUCUACGACCUGGAAGAGGUCCUCGCCAGAAAACCACCGUAUUUGCACCCUGAUCUUGGACUUCUGUCCUCUAGAACUGUGAGAAAUAAAUGUUUGUGGUUU